GAGAAACUAGCCGACAUUUAUAAUUUAGUUAUGAGUCUAAUGUUGAAGAUAAAAUGAAUAUAGUUACAGUCAAUACAAGGGAUAAGCAAUGUGAACGAUGUAAUUUUGCGGCUCUGCACCAUCAUGAACUAAAAGUUGAGCUCCUGCACCUCCUACAGGCUUGAAAAAUGCAAAGCAGAACCACCUCGUUUCCUGCUGUUCCUCCC
rnacentral:lncRNA from 1 species